GCUUUUUGUUGUUUAAAAGUAUAUUCUGCCCAGUGAUUUUAAAUGGCCGCGGUAAUUUGACCGUGCAAAGGUAGCAUAAUCAUUUGCCUCAUAAUUGGGGGCUGGAAUGAAUGAAUGAACAAGGGCUUUUCUUUAUUUUGGAGAAGUAAAUAAUUUUCUUUUUUAGUGAAGAAGCUAAAAUAUGAAAGGGGACAAGAAGACCCUUUUGAGCUUUACUAAUUUUCUUUUUAUUAGGAGUUAGUUUGGUUGGGGCGACCGAGGAGGAUCUUCCUUAAUUAUGUUGAUCCGCAGAUUGCGAUUAAAAGAUUAAGUUACCAAAGGGAUAACAGCGUAAUCUUUUUUGAGAGUUCUUAUUAAAAAUUAGGAUUGCGACCUCGAUGUUGACUUAUAAUUUCCUCUUAGUGUAGCAGCUAAAAUGGUGGGUCUGUUCGACCUUUAAAAUUUU
rnacentral:rRNA from 1 species